CUCAUUAAAUCAGUUAUCGUUUAUUUGAUAGUACCUUACUACUUGGAUAACCGUGGUAAUUCUAGAGCUAAUACAUGCUGAAAACCCCGACUUCGGGAGGGGUGUAUUUAUUAGAUAAAAAACCAACGCCCUUCGGGGCUUCUUGGUGAUUCAUGAUAACUUCACGGAUCGCAUGGCCUUGCGCCGGCGACGGUUCAUUCAAAUUUCUGCCCUAUCAACUUUCGAUGGUAAGGUAUUGGCUUACCAUGGUUUCAACGGGUAACGGGGAAUUAGGGUUCGAUUCCGGAGAGGGAGCCUGAGAAACGGCUACCACAUCCAAGGAAGGCAGCAGGCGCGCAAAUUACCCAAUCCCGACACGGGGAGGUAGUGACAAUAAAUACUGAUACAGGGCUCUUUUGGGUCUUGUAAUUGGAAUGAGUACAAUUUAAACCUCUUAACGAGGAACAAUUGGAGGGCAAGUCUGGUGCCAGCAGCCGCGGUAAUUCCAGCUCCAAUAGCGUAUAUUAAAGUUGUUGCAGUUAAAAAGCUCGUAGUUGAAACUUGGGCCUGGCUGGCAGGUCCGCCUCACCGCGUGUACUUGUCCGGCCGGGCCUUUCCUUCUGGAGAACCUCAUGCCCUUCACUGGGUGUGUUGGGGAACCAGGACUUUUACUUUGAAAAAAUUAGAGUGUUCAAAGCAGGCCUUUGCUCGAAUACGUUAGCAUGGAAUAAUAGAAUAGGACGUGCGGUCCUAUUUUGUUGGUUUCUAGGACCGCCGUAAUGAUUAAUAGGGACAGUCGGGGGCAUCAGUAUUCAAUUGUCAGAGGUGAAAUUCUUGGAUUUAUUGAAGACUAACUACUGCGAAAGCAUUUGCCAAGGAUGUUUUCAUUAAUCAGUGAACGAAAGUUAGGGGAUCGAAGACGAUCAGAUACCGUCGUAGUCUUAACCGUAAACUAUGCCGACUAGGGAUCGGGCGAUGUUCUUUUUCUGACUCGCUCGGCAC
rnacentral:rRNA from 1 species